rnacentral:ncRNA from 1 species
ACCCAGUUCAUGAUGGGCAGCUCAGGCUGCAUGGUGACUUGGUGGCCCAUAGUUAAGUAUUCAGUCUCUAGUAACGCCCAGUAACAGCAAAAAGCCAUUUCUCAAAAGGGGAGUAGUUAGCUGCAGAGGAUGGCAGGGGUUUGCUCCAAAAUCCUAAGGGUGUGAUUCACCAGUAGGGGACAGUGCCAGGUGGGGAGUUUGGCUGGGGAAGUACACCUGCCAAACAGUUACGCAGGUGUCCUAAGGCAAGCUUAGGGAGGACAGAAACCUCUCAUUGAGCAGAAGGGCAAAAGCUCCCUUGAUCUUCAUUUUCAGUACGAAUAUAUACCGUGAAAGCAGGGCCUCACAAUCCUUCAGGCCUUUUAGGUCUUAAACAGGAGGUGUCAGAAAAGUCACCACUGGGAUAACUGGCUUGUGGCAGCCAAGCAUUCACAGAGACGUCACUUUUUGAUCCUUCGACGUUGGCUCUUCCUAUCGUUGUGAAGCAGAAUUCACCAAGCAUUAGAUUGUUUACCCACUAAUCGACCAGGCAAGAU